GGUGAAGUGGGUGAGUGGCUGAAACCAGCAGUUUGCUAAACUGCCGUACUCGCAAGGGUACCGCGGGUUCGAAUCCCGCCUUCACCGCCA
rnacentral:tRNA from 1 species